CUGCACGUAAGAUUUAACGGGGCUAAGCUAUGCACCGAAGUUGCGGAAUAUAUUUAGUAUAUUGGUAGGGGAGCGUUCUGUAAGCCGAUGAAGGUGAAUUGAGAAGUUUGCUGGAGGUAUCAGAAGUGCGAAUGCUGACAUGAGUAACGUAAAAUAAGUGAGAUUCUUAUUGGCCGAAAACCCAAGGUUUCCUACGCAAUGUUAAUCAACGUAGGGUAAGCCGGCCCCUAAGGCGUAGCUGAAGAGUGAAGUCGAUGGGAAACAGGUUAAUAUUCCUGUGCCGCUUAUAUAAACGAAGGAGGGACGGAGAAGGUUAGGUAGGCCUGGCGGAUGGUUGUCCAGGUGAAAGUAUGUAGGUAGAGGUGCUAGGCAAAUCCGGCAUCUUGUUGAUCUGAGAUACGAGACGAAGUCAAACUUGUUUGACAAAGCUAUUGAUACCAUGCUUCCAGGAAAAGCUUCUAAGUAUAUUGUAUAAGUGACCGUACUGUAAACCGACACUGGUGGGUAGGUAGAGAAUACUAAGGCUAUGAGAUAACUCUGGUGAAGGAACUAGGCAAAAUGACACCGUAACUUUGGAAGAAGGUGUGCCCUUGAUGGUGAUGAGACUUGCUCUCUGAGCUGUUGGGGGUUGCAGAUACCAGGUGGCUGCGACUGUUUAUCAAAAACAUAGCACUCUGCAAACACGUAAGUGGAAGUAUAGGGUGUGACCCCUGCCCGGUGCCGGAAGGUUAAUUGAUGGGGUUAGUUUUCGGACGAAGCUCUUGAUCGAAGCCCCGGUGAACGGCGGCCGUAACUAUAACGGUCCUAAGGUAGCGAAAUUCCUUGUCGGGUAAGUUCCGACCUGCACGAAUGGCGUAACGAUGGCCACACUGUCUCCACCCGAGACUCAGUGAAAUUGAAAUCGCUGUUAAGAUGCAGUGUAUCCGCGGCUAGACGGAAAGACCCCGUGAACCUUUACUACAGCUUCACAGUGGACCUUGAUAUGACUUGUGUAGGAUAGCUGGGAGGCUAUGAAACCCGGACGCCAGUCUGGGUGGAGCCAAUCUUGAAAUACCAGCCUGGUCAUGUUGGGGUUCUAACCUGGCGCCAUAAUCUGGCGUGGGGACAUUGUGUGGUGGGUAGUUUGACUGGGGCGGUCUCCUCCCAAAGAGUAACGGAGGAGCACGAAGGUACUCUCGGCAUGGUCGGAAAUCAUGCUAUGAGUGUAAAGGCAUAAGAGUGCUUGACUGCGAGAUUGACGAAUCGAGCAGGUGGGAAACCAGGUCUUAGUGAUCCGGUGGUUCUUUAUGGAAGGGCCAUCGCUCAACGGAUAAAAGGUACGCCGGGGAUAACAGGCUGAUACUACCCAAGAGUUCAUAUCGACGGUAGUGUUUGGCACCUCGAUGUCGGCUCAUCACAUCCUGGGGCUGAAGCAGGUCCCAAG
rnacentral:rRNA from 1 species